CAAAACCAAAGUAAUAUUUAUUGGUCUUAAUGGAAUGAAAAAAGAAAACAUAAACGAAACUACCAUUAUUAACUUACGAAUUAAAUCAAAUUUUUGACAAUGCGAUUUUUGCUUUUUGGAAAUCGUGCUUUUUGCUAAAACAAAACCAAAUCGAUCGAAACAAAAAUGAACUAUAAUUAUAAUGAAAACAACAUACUUUUGCUCUCUAUAAACCUUAUAUACAAGCACCUUUCUAUAUAAAACGUUUAUAUAAAGCAAACCGAAACCAAAAUGACAAAAACAAAAAAAAAACAUAAUUACAGACUAUAUAGAACACGUAAUACCACUGAUCCUUCUAUUCUAUCUUCCGACAUUCCACAUACACAGAGAAACUAACCCCUUCCGGGAAGUAAUACCAUCCUAAUUUGCAACUCUUGAUUUUUGUUUAUUUUAUUUAAUUUUUGUUUGUUUUCAAUUGCCAAACUCAGUGUUUAAAAUAAGACCAAGUGAAAAAACAAGGAGAGAAAAUUAAAUUAAAAGAAACGAAACGAAACGAAAAGAACUACGCAUACAUUCAUGUAUAAUUAGUGAACAGUUACUGACUAACAAACGUUAUUUCAAACUCAAGUCAUUCUAUCAAUAAAAGUAUUCAAAGUAAAUAAAUUCUGUUAUUGUUGUCGAGGCAUUGAAAUAUAAAUAUUGAGGCCGAAAAACUAAAGCAACUUUUAAAUAAGUGAGAGAAAUUGUUGUUUCAUUAAAUUUGUCAUUAUGAGAAUUGAAAAUAUAAAUGUUUAAUGCAAAAUGGUGUAAGAAAUACAUAUAAUUGUGUAUACACAUAUAAUUCAUCAUAUACAUAAAUACAUACUUAUAUCUGUAUAUUCCAGAAACCCCCCAAAAAGAUAUAAAAAUUAAAUAAUUAACGACAGACACUUUGGAAGCUUACAAUUUGGAAAAGCCGAAAAAACAUUACUUUUUUUUCGACAAUUAAAUAAAAACAUUGAUACACAAACACACACACACACUUAUAGACAAAGCUUAUGUUUUUUUUUUUUGUAUGGAAAAGUCUACAAAGAAUUUCACCUAAUAGUUUAAAGACAAGGCAAGCGGAAAUACUAUUAAAAAAUUAGUAAAAUAAAAGGAAAAGGAAGAGGAAAACAUUCACGCAUUGAGAAAAACCUAACUAUUAAGAUACAAAGAAACAAAAACACACCUACAAAAAAAAAAGGAAGAAGAAAAGCGCAUACAUACAUAAACUAAUUAUAAAUUAAUAUAAACUUGCUCAUUAUUCUAAUUAUAAACCGAAACUUAUAAGUAAAUGGUAAUACUUAAAUAAUGCAAUUAAAACCAAAUUAAGAUUAAUACAACACGAAACAGGAAGAAGAAC
rnacentral:lncRNA from 1 species